rnacentral:rRNA from 1 species
CGACCGGCGCACGGGUGAGUAACACGUAUCCAACCUGCCGAUAACUCGGGGAUAGCCUUUCGAAAGAAAGAUUAAUACCCAAUGAUAUCUCUAGAAGACAUCUGAAAGGGAUUAAAGAUUUAUCGGUGAUGGAUGGGGAUGCGUCUGAUUAGCUUGUUGGCGGGGUAACGGCCCACCAAGGCAACGAUCAGUAGGGGUUCUGAGAGGAAGGUCCCCCACAUUGGAACUGAGACACGGUCCAA